rnacentral:rRNA from 1 species
GACGAACGCUGGCGGCGUGCCUAAUACAUGCAAGUAGGACGCAGUUGCGAACUGGUGAGUAACGCGUAGGUAACUACCUAUUAGAGGGGGAUCACUAUUGGAACCGAUAGCUAAUACCGCAUACUAGUAGCUGGACCUGCGUUGUAUUAGUUAGUAGGUAGGGUAAUGGCCUACCUAGGCAACGAUACAUAGCCGAGCUGAGGGGGGGAUCGGCCACAAUUGGAAGUGGACACGGGCCAGACUCCUACGGGAGGGAGCAGUAGGGAAUCGUCGGCAAUGGGGGGAACCCUGAACGAGGAACGCCGCGGGAGGGAAGAAGGUUUUCGGAUCGUAAAGCUCUGUUGUUAAGGAAGCGGUACUUAAAGAGAAAGGGACGGCUAACUACGUGCCAGCAGCCGCGGUAAUUC